rnacentral:misc_RNA from 1 species
UAUAAAUUUUGCGACUGGAACAACAGUUGGCAGAACUGCCCGAUAGAGAGAGUCUUCAUGCGUUCUUGAUCAGGCUUGACUCAACACGUUUAUGCUCCAAUCAUCUACUACUCCACACCAAAUAGUUUGUAGCUGAAACAAUAUCAGUAGAUUCGAUUUAACAAUGUUAAAGUGUCUCUGGAAUUAGCUAUAAAGUUGUAUUUUUUGCGCAAAAAAA